GACGAACGCUGGCGGCGUGCCUAAUACAUGCAAGUCGAGCGAAGUGGAGAGAGCUUGCUCUCAAAACUUAGCGGCGAACGGGUGAGUAACACGCGGGCAACCUGCCUGACAGACUGGGAUAACUUGGGGAAACUCAAGCUAAUACCGGAUAGGAUCGCGAACCGUAUGGAUUGCGAUGGAAAGUCUGAACGACACUGUCAGAUGGGCCCGCGGCGCAUUAGCUAGUUGGUGGGGUAAUGGCCUACCAAGGCGACGAUGCGUAGCCGACCUGAGAGGGUGACCGGCCACACUGGGACUGAGACACGGCCCAGACUCCUACGGGAGGCAGCAGUAGGGAAUCUUCCACAAUGGGCGAAAGCCUGAUGGAGCAACGCCGCGUGAGUGAUGAAGGUUUUCGGAUCGUAAAACUCUGUUGUUAGGGAAGAACACCCGGGAGAGGAUCCCGGUUUGACGGUACCUAACGAAGAAGCCCCGGCUAACUUCGUGCCAGCAGCCGCCGUAAAAC
rnacentral:rRNA from 1 species